rnacentral:rRNA from 1 species
CCUACGGGUGGCAGCAGUGAGGAAUAUUGGUCAAUGGCCGGAAGGCUGAACCAGCCAAGCCGCGUGAAGGACGAAGGUGCCAAGCAUUGUAAACUUCUUUUGUCAAGGGACAAAAUCAGGCUCGAGAGCCUGACCGAGGGUACUUGAAGAAAAAGCAUCGGCUAACUCCGUUCCAGCAGCCGCGGUAAUACGGAGGAUGCGAGCGGUAUCCGGAUUUAUUGGGUUUAAAGGGUGCGUAGGCGGGCUGUUAAGUCAGCGGUAAAAGCCCGGGGCGCAAGCCCGGCGGGACGUUGAAAAAGGCUGUCUUGAGAUGUCGAGAGGUAGGCGGAAUGCGCAGUGUAGCGGUGCAAUGCUUAGAUAUUGCGCAGAACUCCGAUUGCGAAGGCAGCAUACCGGCGGCGAUCUGACGCUGAGGCACGAAAGCGUGGGUAUCGAACAGGAUUAGAUACCCUGGUAGUC